CUGGCUCAGAUUGAACGCUGGCGGCAGGCUUAACACAUGCAAGUCGAGCGGAUGAAGGGAGCUUGCUCCUGGAUUCAGCGGCGGACGGGUGAGUAAUGCUUAGGAAUCUGCCUAUUAGUGGGGGACAACAGUUGGAAACGACUGCUAAUACCGCAUACGCCCUACGGGGGAAAGGAGGGGAUCUUCGGACCUUUCGCUAAUAGAUGAGCCUAAGUCAGAUUAGCUAGUUGGUGGGGUAAAGGCCUACCAAGGCGACGAUCUGUAGCGGGUCUGAGAGGAUGAUCCGCCACACUGGGACUGAGACACGGCCCAGACUCCUACGGGAGGCAGCAGUGGGGAAUAUUGGACAAUGGGGGCAACCCUGAUCCAGCCAUGCCGCGUGUGUGAAGAAGGCCUUUUGGUUGUAAAGCACUUUAAGCGAGGAGGAGGCUCUUCUAGUUAAUACCUAGGAUGAGUGGACGUUACUCGCAGAAUAAGCACCGGCUAACUCUGUGCCAGCAGCCGCGGUAAUACAGAGGGUGCGAGCGUUAAUCGGAUUUACUGGGCGUAAAGCGUACGUAGGCGGCUUUUUAAGUCGGAUGUGAAAUCCCUGAGCUUAACUUAGGAAUUGCAUUCGAUACUGGGAAGCUAGAGUAUGGGAGAGGAUGGUAGAAUUCCAGGUGUAGCGGUGAAAUGCGUAGAGAUCUGGAGGAAUACCGAUGGCGAAGGCAGCCAUCUGGCCUAAUACUGACGCUGAGGUACGAAAGCAUGGGGAGCAAACAGGAUUAGAUACCCUGGUAGUCCAUGCCGUAAACGAUGUCUACUAGCCGUUGGGGCCUUUGAGGCUUUAGUGGCGCAGCUAACGCGAUAAGUAGACCGCCUGGGGAGUACGGUCGCAAGACUAAAACUCAAAUGAAUUGACGGGGGCCCGCACAAGCGGUGGAGCAUGUGGUUUAAUUCGAUGCAACGCGAAGAACCUUACCUGGUCUUGACAUAGUAAGAACUUUCCAGAGAUGGAUUGGUGCCUUCGGGAACUUACAUACAGGUGCUGCAUGGCUGUCGUCAGCUCGUGUCGUGAGAUGUUGGGUUAAGUCCCGCAACGAGCGCAACCCUUUUCCUUAUUUGCCAGCGGGUUAAGCCGGGAACUUUAAGGAUACUGCCAGUGACAAACUGGAGGAAGGCGGGGACGACGUCAAGUCAUCAUGGCCCUUACGACCAGGGCUACACACGUGCUACAAUGGUCGGUACAAAGGGUUGCUACUCCGCGAGGAGAUGCUAAUCUCAAAAAGCCGAUCGUAGUCCGGAUCGCAGUCUGCAACUCGACUGCGUGAAGUCGGAAUCGCUAGUAAUCGCGGAUCAGAAUGCCGCGGUGAAUACGUUCCCGGGCCUUGUACACACCGCCCGUCACACCAUGGGAGUUUGUUGCACCAGAAGUAGGUAGUCUAACCGUAAGGAGGACGCUACCACNGUUC
rnacentral:rRNA from 1 species